rnacentral:lncRNA from 1 species
GGGAUAGCAGAGUUUGUAGCGACUUUUCUGUUUCUCUACAUCACCAUCUUAACAGUCUUCGGUGUCCUUAGGUCUCCCACCAAGUGCCAAUCCGUUGGUAUUCAAGGAAUCGCUUGGGCCUUCGGUGGCAUGAUCUUCGCCCUCGUUUACUGCACCGCCGGAAUCUCAGGUUCACUUUUUUUUUUCCUCAUCAACUCUAGGAAUUUUAUGUUUUUUUCAGUUGUUUAAGAUAAACAACGUUGCUUGUUUGUGUUUGUGGUGCAGGGGGUCACAUAAACCCUGCGGUUACCUUUGGGCUGUUCUUGGCAAGGAAAUUGUCGUUGACCAGAGCGUUGUUCUACAUCGUGAUGCAAGUGUUGGGUGCUAUCGCUGGAGCCGGAGUGGUGAAGGGUUUCGAGGGAAAAACCAGAUACGGUGCAUUGAACGGUGGUGCCAACUUUGUUAACCCAGGUUACACAAAAGGUGACGGACUCGGUGCUGAAAUCGUUGGCAC